GAUGAACGCUGGCGGCGUGCCUAAUACAUGCAAGUCGAGCGAACAGAUAAGGAGCUUGCUCCUUUGAAGUUAGCGGCGGACGGGUGAGUAACACGUGGGUAACCUACCUAUAAGGCUGGGAUAACUUCGGGAAACCGGAGCUAAUACCGGAUAACAUUUAGAACCGCAUGGUUCUAGAGUGAAAGAUGGUUUUGCUAUCACUUAUAGAUGGACCCGCGCCGUAUUAGCUAGUUGGUAAGGUAACGGCUUACCAAGGCGACGAUACGUAGCCGACCUGAGAGGAUGAGACGCCACCCUGGAACCGCGACACGGUCCGGACUACGAAGGGAGCGAGCAGGGGGGAAUAUUGGCAACUGGGCGCAAGCCUGAUUCAGCAAUGGCGCGUGGUUGGAGAAGGCUGUCGGGUUGUAAAACCAUUUUUGUAGGGAAGAAAAGCAGUAGGGUAAUACCCAGCUGUGCUGACGGUACCGAAAUAAUAAGCAACGGCUAACUUCGUG
rnacentral:rRNA from 1 species